AGCCUCCCGUUAAUUAACACCCAGUCCAUCAAGGCGGGUUCCUCCGUACAGUACUUGCAGCAGGGCUUAUAUAGACAACUCACACCCAGCCAAAGCAAACUUCCCCAAACCCAACACUUCCAGCAUUUCCAAAUUGGGAGACAGGCGCCAGAAUAACCCGGGGCAAGACGCCUAAAGGAGCCUGUUUGUGUGCUGUUGCCGCGUUCAGCUGUGACUGGAUCUUGUCUUCUGCCUCGAUUUCGGCCCGGCUGGAUUUGGGGGACAGCACUGCCUGGCGCGGGGACAUCAAAUGAGACUUCAAAGAAGGAUAAAAUGAAUACACUAUUCAAUCAAACAAAGACCGGGAGCAGCAGUAUUCCAGCAAGACAACAUCUUCUCCCCAGCCUAGAAGUUCUGAGAAAUCGAGGAUCUUCCCCUAAAACAUUCUCAUACAAGAUAUGUGCAAUCAAGCUGCCAGCACUUGGUAAAAAGCUCAUGAUGCCUAACCCGAUGAUCCGGCGCGGAUCUUUGAAUCAGCUGUCACUUCUAUAGAAUGGGAUUUUCCCCCUCUUCCUUUUUAUCCAGCGCUGGAAACUGCCAAGGGCUUUGUACAUCUCAGUAGAGGAAGGCUAAAGAAUCUUACGUGAGAAGGAAGCAAUUUACAAUGCAAAUAGAGGCCUGUGAAGGGAUGGACGCUGCUGCUCACUGGAACAGCUUGCUGCACCUUAGUCGCUGGUUUCAUUUUCUGAUAUUAAUAGAUGAAUUGUUGGCUAACGCUGCUGGAGAUUACUUGCUGGAAGGAAAAGAAAGUUUGGAAUAAACUCUGAAUGCACCAGAUCUUAUUUGGAUGUGUUAGCCGCACUCACUCAGACAGAAACCAGGUCACAUUUGCAUGAAAAGAGGAAUCUUAAACGCGGCAACUAUUCUGGAGGACUACACUUGUGUAGAUCCAGUGUGGAGAGCGAUCUGGAGUGAAACCAGAGGAAGACUUCCUGUGAGGGAAGCGAGUUGUUAUCUUUGGUUAUCUAGCUGUAUGAGUGUAUUGGUCUUCAUAAAGCUAGAUAACCGAAAGUAAAAACUCCUUCAAGAUCACCGAGGAGCGGCCCAGAAUGAAACCCUACAGCCAAGAGACAGUAAAGACCAGAAAGGUCAGGAAUGCUUAUUGAAUCUAACUUUUUUUUUCUUAUGGUUAAAAGUGGGAUGCAAGGAAAUUAAGUGACACCCAUAUUGAAAUCUAAAGGGGCCAGGUUCUGAGAGGGGCUGUACAACUGGAGAGGAGAAUUGUGUAGUUUGUAUGGGUGAAGAUGCAUGGACUUUCUAUAUUGUUCUGUUUUGGAGCAAACGUUUUACAUAUAAGAAAUACUUUUCUUAGAAAGCUGUUAUAGUGAUGCCUGAUACCUCGUUUAAAAAGGAUGCCAGAAUUAUGUAGAUUUGGACAGUUCCCUUCUGAGGCCCCUCCCUCAAGUUUGAAGCUUGUGCUUGGAAACUUUCUAUGUAUUUGAGGUUGUAUAUUAAAUUCUAUGAAGUUAGACUUUCAGUAAAGCUUAUAUUGGAAGGUUAAUAAUUUAUAUCUCCCGAGGACUUAGAGCAAGCAGGGGAAAUGGAGGGGGGGGUCUGAAUUUUAUUCUUCUAUUCAAAAUACAAGGACAGAUGCUUCUCUGUUCCAAGAGGGUUUCCUUGAGGAAGCUACUGAAGCAGAAAGACAUGAUGGAGACGAGAUCGCCUCCCCUCUUGUCAAAGUGUUAAAAAAAUGUUCUGUCUUACUCUGCGCCUAGCAUUGGAAAUGAAAGUGACAUUUACGCCACAACCCACGUGUGCGCCUUCUCUCUUUUUGUUUAAGGAUGAUCAGGUCUAUCCAGGAAACAGCUCUGGCAUCCCAAACUGAAAUAAUUAGGACGUAUAUAGACCUGACAAAAAUGGAAACGGGGUGGGGAAUCUGAGGGUCUGUCUUGCCUAAUUGAUUCCGCUAAACGGAAAGCAGGAGAUGUGAACGGCAGGACGCUCCGAUUCCCACGCUCGGGGGCAAGUGGUAAAGCCUGGCCGGCAGCCUAUGACAGACAGCCCUGUUGGGGGGCAGGGGUAUGAAAAAAAACAUCAAGCACACACACCAUACUCAUCUCCAUCGCUUAAGAAAGUAAAGGCAUUUCCCACCCACAGCCAUCUGCAGCCUCCCAAAUGGCAACACCAACUGGUUGGUAGCUGCUGCGUACUGUUUCAGUUAGUUUUUAAACCACUGUUUAAUCUGGCCAUGAUUAAAUUUGGCUUUCUCCUCUGGUUGAAAUUUUCAUUAUUUAAGGAAAGCAAGUGGAAAGGGACGCUAAGAACGUCCCUCCGGAGAAAUUCUCAGCCUGUGGUUAGGGCUUGGUGAUCACCUUUUGGCUUUUGUUUUGGCUGUGUUGUAUUUUAAAGUCACGUCUGGUAACACUCAUUCUGACUUAGUUCAUCGGACUGUUUACUUCUUUAUGUGACACAGGAACUUGGCCUACUUAUGCUAAUCUACAUUCUGGAAAUAAAGCUAUAAAGUCAUCAGUCUGUAGAAAGUUGAUUACAAUCACAGUGUGUUUAAAACUUGUUUUAGAAUAGUCUUAGCAGUAUGUGUGCUACAGCUUUUUCU